AUCUGCAGAAACAAACGGAAUCAAGAUCAGAGUUGUACAGCAAAAGUUAUUGACAUGCUUCUUGGACAAGAAUAAGCUUAAGCUGUUGGAAUGCUGAAACAGUUCCGACCAGUGUCAGAGUAAAGGCGAAACGGUGAACCUUAACAAAGGCUUUCAGUCUGGGACUUUUACAGUAAGUAUUUAACUCUUUCAGUUAUCAUCUCCAACAGACGGAUUGUCAUUCCAAGUUAUUUUCUGAGAGUUAAGCUUGUUUUCGUGAGAGGUGUUGGUGCAGUCUACGUUUUCGACCAGUCUGGAGACGAAGCUAAUUUGAUUAAUCAGAUGGUGUCCGAUCGGAGUAAAACCGGUGGCUACGGAUAUAGAACAUCUAGGGCUACAUUCGGACCGGAGGGAUUGAAAAGUUAACGGUCAGUUCUUGAGAUAUGCAUCUGUUUUCUCUAGUGUUCAGUUUUGGCAGAAUCAUAAUACUCAUUUAUUUUCAGACUUUCGGAGUUGCUGUGAUAGAGCCAUCAAGGGCUAUUCUGUGCUUCUCAGGUUCUUUAGAACCCGUGGCAAAG
rnacentral:lncRNA from 1 species